rnacentral:rRNA from 1 species
AAAGAAGUAGUUAGUCUAACCUUCGGGAGGACGAUUACCACUUUGUGUUUCAUGACUGGGGUGAAGUCGUAACAAGGUAACCCUAGGGGAACCUGGGGUUGGAUCACCUCCUUA